UCGCUGCUGGAUUCCUUGCGUGCUAUGUGGUCUCUGUCUCCUGGCUUAAGUACCUCCGCCGCCUGUCCCUGCCACGAGGGACGGGCGGCGGGGGGAUGAUCCCAGCCCUGAAAACCUUCGCAGAGCGGCCGGCAGUGACCCCCCAGAAACCCCUCAAACAGCUACAUUCAUCCCCAUAAGAG